AGAGAUAUUUUCUUUCAAUCACAACGUGGAGCAGACAGGAAAGUUGGUUUUAUCAAGGAAAAUGCCAAAAAUCUGAAUUGCUAUGCAGUGCUGAGGUGGAGGUCGCUUUUAACAGGGAAACACUACAAAUGCUGUGAUGAUGAUCCACUUCUGGCCAAAUUGGUACAGCCUUGAACUGCAAAAUG